rnacentral:rRNA from 1 species
AUGCUUAGUCCGUGGCUGCUGUAUGCACAGAUGCAUGCCCUCUUGCCGGCAAAACAGCAGCAACAGUCACCUCUGGACAUGCCAUCAGUUCCUAGAAGAAAGUGGUGUUCGAGUAGGAAGAGGGAGGAGAUGCAAACAUCACUGCUAAUCCGACCAGUUCAGGAAACACAUAAAGAUGAUAUGUAUCCUUUGAGCAAUAGGAUCAGCUUCAUGUCCAUACGGUCACUACACAUGCCAUGCAGGCGGCAAGAUACGGGCAUGUCCAUCAUCGACUUCGAUGACGGCGAGAUCGACGUGGUGCAGCACAACUCUGUCUGA